UUUUUGUUUGUUUUUAAACAAGGAAAAUGCAAAAAGCGAGGCGACGGCUUAAAGAUGGAGAACGACCCCCAGGAGGCGGAGUCUGAAAUGGCCCUGGAUGCUGAGUUCCUGGACGUGUACAAGAACUGCAACGGGGUGGUCAUGAUGUUCGACAUUACCAAGCAGUGGACCUUCAAUUACAUUCUCCGGGAGCUUCCGAAAGUGCCCACCCACGUGCCAGUGUGCGUGCUGGGGAACUACCGGGACAUGGGCGAGCACCGAGUCAUCCUGCCGGACGACGUGCGUGACUUCAUCGACAACCUGGACAGACCUCCAGGCUCCUCCUACUUCCGCUAUGCUGAGUCUUCCAUGAAGAACAGCUUCGGCCUAAAGUACCUUCAUAAGUUCUUCAAUAUCCCAUUUUUGCAGCUUCAGAGGGAGACGCUGUUGCGGCAGCUGGAGACGAACCAGCUGGACAUGGACGCCACGCUGGAGGAGCUGUCGGUGCAGCAGGAGACGGAGGACCAGAACUACGGCAUCUUCCUGGAGAUGAUGGAGGCUCGCAGCCGUGGCCAUGCGUCCCCACUGGCGGCCAACGGGCAGAGCCCAUCCUCGGGCUCCCAGUCACCAGUGGUGCCUGCAGGUGCCGUGUCCACGGGGAGCUCCAGCCCCGGCACACCCCAGCCCGCCCCACAGCUGCCCCUCAAUGCUGCCCCACCAUCCUCUGUGCCCCCUGUACCACCCUCAGAGGCCCUGCCCCCACCUGCGUGCCCCUCAGCCCCCG
rnacentral:sRNA from 1 species